UACGUAGGGGGCAAGCGUUGUCCGGAAUUAUUGGGCGUAAAGCGCGCGCAGGCGGCUAUUUAAGUCUGGUGUUUAAACCUUGGGCUCAACCUGGGGUCGCACUGGAAACUGGAUGGCUUGAGUACAGAAGAGGAAAGUGGAAUUCCACGUGUAGCGGUGAAAUGCGUAGAUAUGUGGAGGAACACCAGUGGCGAAGGCGACUUUCUGGGCUGUAACUGACGCUGAGGCGCGAAAGCGUGGGGAGCAAACAGG
rnacentral:rRNA from 1 species